AAUACAACAAGACAAGUUGGCUAGGCAGUGGAGACCCUGCAGAGAGAAGUAUCAGAAAUAGCUGGACUAACAAGAAGAGUCAUCCUUUCCUGUGGUUGUGGAAUGUUCCUUAGCAUCUCAGUUAUCCAUUCAUUUUGGACUGAAAUAUUUUCAUAGUCCAUGAAUGAAUUGAGCAAAUA